rnacentral:rRNA from 1 species
AGAGUUUGAUCAUGGCUCAGGAUGAACGCUAGCUACAGGCUUAACACAUGCAAGUCGAGGGGAAACGACAUCGAAAGCUUGCUUUUGAUGGGCGUCGACCGGCGCACGGGUGGGUAACGCGUAUCCAACCUGCCCACCACUUGGGGAUAACCUUGCGAAAGUAAGACUAAUACCCAAUGACGUCUCUAGAAGACAUCUGAAGGAGAUUAAAGAUUUAUCGGUGAUGGAUGGGGAUGCGUCUGAUUAGCUUGUUGGCGGGGUAGCGGCCACCAAGGCGACGAUCAGUAGGGGUUCUGAGAGGAAGGUCCCCCANAUUGGAACUGAGACACGGUCCAAACUCCUACGGGAGCA